rnacentral:rRNA from 1 species
GCGUACGUGAGCGGAAUAGAGGAGAGUUAAGGUCGGCGUGUUUGGAGUAGCGUAGAGACAGGGGAGACAGAAGUGCGUACGUGGAGUGCGGAGUCGAUCGUCGGAUCGUGGCGACAGACGGCAGAACGUCCGGUGGCCGGUUGCUGGAGGGAGCACGCGCGGUACCUCCUGCCCCUGGAGGGGCACUGACCACUGGGGUCGAAGGAAGGUUCGAGACAAUCGCCUGCGGUACCUCCUGCCGCUGCUUGAGUGGAAGGACUCGCGCCAACCGGAGAAAAAGAGGGGCUCGCCACCACCGCAGGAGAAGAGGGGCUUGCGCCGCCGGAGGAGAAGAGGGACUCGUGCCGCCGCUGGAGGAGAAGAGGGGUUCGUGCCGCCGCCGGAGGAGAAGAGGGACUCGCGCCGCCGUCGGAGGAGAAGAGGGGUUCGCGCCACCGGAGGAGAAGAGGGGCUCGUGCCGCCGCCGGAGGAGAAGAGGGGCUCGUGCCGCCGCCGGAGGAGAAGAGGGGCUCGUGCCGCCGUCGGAGGCGAAGAUGGGUUCGCGCCGCCGUCGGAGGAGCAGAGCCGCUCCGUGCUACGCCGCCGACCCUGUCCCAGCGGCCGAACUUAGUGACAGCGGUAACUACUACUGCGGAUAAAACACGAGCGGCCGCUGCGCGAGUACGUCAGGCCGCUCCGUAAAAAAAAACAAGUGCGAGUGUUCGAAAUGGCUCACGUGUACGAUCUCUUGAGCCGUUUAUCUCGCGGGCAAGCAAGGCAAGACAGGGCAGCGAAAAAAAACGGCACUUGGUCUAAACUAUGAGCCAUUUCUGUAUCGGCUCACGGGCUGCUUUCCUUGAGCCGUUUGUAGACAAACGGCCUUCCCAUAUUCGGCCCAUGCGAAACGGCUCAUGUUGUGAGCCGUCUUGGUAACGGCUCACAAAAUCCCGGAAACGGCUCAAAAAAGUCGUGAGCCGUUUGUUCACUUAAGGUCAUCACGCGGUAACGUCAAAAACAAAAUGGUCUUUCAGUUUUAGACUUAUAUAGGCCAUCCAAUUCUCGACAUCGAUCCUGCUGGCUCUGAAACUUUUGAGAAAUACCUGGCUCGUUAUCGAUCGUUGAGACUUUUGCUCUAGGCAGGGCUAGAUGACAUGCACACCAUAGAGAGACGGGUCCCGGUGUUAAAAACAGACCUCAUGUACGCCAGCAGAAAAAUAAGAAACUGCCCACACCAGACUUCGUCUCAGAAGCAAAAGAGUGUGCCACCAAACUUGCCGGCGCAUAAGGAGAGGUAGAGACAGAAUUUAAUAAUUCAAUAAAUAAGUAGGAAAAGUGAGCCGUUAAUUUGCGUGCGUCAUGAGCCACUCUAAACCUGUAAUAUUCAUAGCUGUGUUCUUGGACGUCAAACUUCCUUCAGUAAUCAAGUAGUGUGUAGUUCGAGGAGAACUGGUUCUUGGUGCAUGCAUGUGAUGACUAGUUGAUUAAUUCGACAGGAAACGGAUCGACCGAUCACUGAGUCACUCCUAGUUACCGUAGGGUCGACCAGAGUGAGUACUUCGCUGACACCUCGAUAGAAGGGAGAAGAGAAUCGUCAAGGUCCUCGCUGGGAGGCGUCGUCUAAGGACUAGGAUGGCCACUGCCACUAGUAGGAGGUCUGCGAGUUCGGCCCGUGUGAGGGGGGCAAGUCGUCGGAAGUGGGGGAGAAGGUCCAUACGUGAGUCGGUGAUGAGGGAAGCUAGUGUUUAUAUUCUGCAAAAACAUCCGAUUUUAUCUGAUGGUUUUGCAGAAUAUAAAACUAUGUCUCCGUUAUGAAUAGAUGAGAGGGGUACGUACGUAUGUAGUACGUGUAGAAAACCGAUUACUACAGGGGGCUUGCCGCCACACUAUUAUUAGGCACCACAACGUCAAAGUCUAGAACUCGUGGAGGGUUCAAGAUUGGUGUAUCUUACGGAACUACCACGUGAACUCGGGCUAGACCGGCCGUUGUACUUCGAGCCGUCAAGGUGGUCAAAGGGUGCUGUGUUUUAAAUACUAGGACUGCCGCCGUUAAUUAGGAAAGUGCUUCUUAGGACUUCCGAACAUUUUGUGGUAAUAUAAAGAAAUAAGAGGCCGUAGGAGACGGCUUGCGCCUUAAGUAACGGUUUAAAAUCGUUAUAGUGGUGGUACAACAAGGGUUACUCCAAGCUCACCAGGGUCGACUACCCGAUACCCAAAUAUCAUGAUCUAUACAUCUUAGAGGAAAACACACAAAAUAUACACAAGUAAUACACUCGAUCGAGGUUGUAUGUCGAGGUUGUAUGCUCAUACUAAUAGAUCCACCAAAAACACCACCUACAAAACAGUACUCAACUUAUUAAAGUAUAUAUAAAAAAUCCCUUUAAGGUAUGUAACAACAAGUAAAACUGACAUUCUAAUCGAACGCCUACAGAUAAACUAUAGACGAGAUGAUCAGAUUAAUACC